rnacentral:snRNA from 1 species
CAGGUGUCCUAAGAUGAGCU